rnacentral:rRNA from 1 species
ACUACGGGUGGCAGCAGUGGGGGAUAUUGCACAAUGGGGGAAACCCUGAUGCAGCGACGCCGCGUGAGUGAAGAAGUAUUUCGGUAUGUAAAGCUCUAUCAGCAGGGAAGAAAAUGACAGUACCGGACCAAGAAGCCCCGGCGAACUACGUGCCAGCAGCCGCGGUAAUACGUAGGGGGCAAGCGUUAUCCGGAUUUACUGGGUGUAAAGGGAGCGUAGCCGGUUUUGUAAGUCUGGAGUGAAAGCCCGGGGCCCAACCCCGGGACUGCUUUGGAAACUGUGGAACUGGAGUACAGGAGGGGCCGGCGGACUUCCUGGUGUAGCGGUGAAAUGCGUAGAUAUCAGGAGGAACACCGGCGGCGAAGGCGGCCUGCUGGACUGAAACUGACGUUGAGGCUCGAAAGCGUGGGGAGCAAACAGGAUUAGAUACCCUAGUAGUC